rnacentral:rRNA from 1 species
UACGUAGGGUGCGAGCGUUAAUCGGAAUUGCUGGGCGUAAAGGGUGCGCAGGCGGAUUGGCAAGUCAGAGGUGAAAUCUCACGGCUUAACCGUGAAACUGCCUUUGAUACUGCUAAUCUUGAGUUAGGGAGAGGUUGAUGGAAUUCCAGGUGUAGCGGUGAAAUGCGUAGAUAUCUGGAAGAACACCAGUGGCGAAGGCGGUCAACUGGCCCUUAACUGACGCUCAUGCACGAAAGCGUGGGUAGCGAACAGG